rnacentral:rRNA from 1 species
GACGAACGCUGGCGGCGUGCCUAAUGCACGCAAGUCGUACGCUUCACCUUCGGGUGCGGCGUGGCGCACGGCUGAGGAACACGUGGGCACCUGCCCUUCGGUGGGGCGAUAACCCCGCCGAAAGCGGGGCGUAAUCCCGCAUACGCUUGCCCUCACGGGCAAGGAAAGCGGUAACGCGCCGAGGGAGGGGCCGUGCGGCCCAUCAGGUUGUCGGUGGGGUAACGGCCUACCGAGCCGAUGACGGGUAGCUGGUCUGUGAGGACAACCAGCCAGACUGGGACUGAGAUACGGCCCAGACUCCUACGGGAGGCAGCAGCAAGGAAUUUUCCCCAAUGGGCGAGAGCCUGAGGGAGCAACGCCGCGUGCAGGACGACGGCCUUCGGUU